rnacentral:rRNA from 3 species
UACGUAGGUCCCGAGCGUUGUCCGGAUUUAUUGGGCGUAAAGCGAGCGCAGGCGGUUAGAUAAGUCUGAAGUUAAAGGCUGUGGCUUAACCAUAGUACGCUUUGGAAACUGUUUAACUUGAGUGCAAGAGGGGAGAGUGGAAUUCCAUGUGUAGCGGUGAAAUGCGUAGAUAUAUGGAGGAACACCGGUGGCGAAAGCGGCUCUCUGGCUUGUAACUGACGCUGAGGCUCGAAAGCGUGGGGAGCAAACA